rnacentral:rRNA from 1 species
CUUGCUCUGUGGGAUCAGUGGCGAACGGGUGAGUAACACGUGAGCAACCUGCCCCUGACUCUGGGAUAAGCGCUGGAAACGGCGUCUAAUACUGGAUAUGUGACGUGACCGCGUGGUCUGCGUCUGGAAAGAAUUUCGGUUGGGGAUGGGCUCGCGGCCUAUCAGCUUGUUGGUGAGGUAAUGGCUCACCAAGGCGUCAACGGGUAGCCGGCCUGAGAGGGUGACCGGCCACACUGGGACUGAGACACGGCCCAAACUCCUACGGGAGGCACCCGUGGGGAAUAUUGCACAACGGGCGCAAGCCUGAUGCACAACCCCGC